UACAGAGGGGGCAAGCGUUGUUCGGAAUUACUGGGCGUAAAGCGUGCGCAGGCGGUUUUGUAAGCCAGAUGUGAAAUCCCCGGGCUCAACCUGGGAACUGCAUUUGGGACUGCAAGGCUGGAGUACGGCAGAGGGAGGUGGAAUUCCACGUGUAGCAGUGAAAUGCGUAGAGAUGUGGAGGAACACCGAUGGCGAAGGCAGCCUCCUGGGCUAGUACGUGACGCUCAACUACGAAAGCGUGGGGAGCAAACAGGG
rnacentral:rRNA from 1 species